rnacentral:rRNA from 1 species
AGUGGCGGACGGGUGAGUAACGCGUGGGUAACCUGCCUCAUACAGGGGAUAACAGUUAGAAAUGACUGCUAAUACCGCAUAAGACCACGGAGCCGCAUGGCUCAGUGGGAAAAACUCCGGUGGUAUGAGAUGGACCCGCGUCUGAUUAGGUAGUUGGUGGGGUAACGGCCUACCAAGCCAACGAUCAGUAGCCGACCUGAGAGGGUGACCGGCCACAUUGGGACUGAGACACGGCCCAA